GAUGAACGCUGGCGGCGUGCCUAAUACAUGCAAGUCGAGCGAACGGACGAGAAGCUUGCUUCUCUGAUGUUAGCGGCGGACGGGUGAGUAACACGUGGAUAACCUACCUAUAAGACUGGGAUAACUUCGGGAAACCGUAGCUAAUACCGGAUAAUAUUUUGAACCGCAUGGUUCAAAAGUGAAAGACGGUCUUGCUGUCACUUAUAGAUGGAUCCGCGCUGCAUUAGCUAGUUGGUAAGGUAACGGCUUACCAAGGCAACGAUGCAUAGCCGACCUGAGAGGGUGUUCGGCCACACUGGAACUGAGACACGGUCCAGACUCCUACGGGAGGCAGCAGUAGGGAAUCUUCCGCAAUGGGCGAAAGCCUGACGGAGCAACGCCGCGUGAGUGAUGAAGGUCUUCGGAUCGUAAAACUCUGUUAUUAGGGAAGAACAUAUGUGUAAGUAACUGUGCACAUCUGGACGGUACCUAAGCAGAAAGCCACGGCUAACUCCGU
rnacentral:rRNA from 1 species